UACCCUAUAGUAAUGUUGUUACUUCCCGCACAUAUUAGCCAUUUUCUUUACACCUGCUUUGUACGGUUAUACCCCGAAUUUUUAGGAUCUGGGAACGGGCGGCCAAGGGAGCGGCAUCGGCGUCCUCCAGCGGCAGGCAGCGGGAGAACGGCGAAAUCGGCCAGCGACGGGUGGAAAGGAGUCGCCGCCGCAGCCGCCGGAGGUCGGAGCCGAGGGGAGGUGGGCGGACAACAACGAGCGACGCCUCGAGGGUAUCUUUCCUCUUCUUGUUCUUCUUGGUCCUCUUCUUUUCCGGCGUGGCCCCGGCCGGAACCCCAAACGGGGGCGCGUCUCAUUCUCCGUCCGCGCGUCCGCUGCGGCGGCGCCGGCGGCAGGGUGUGAUGCCGCGGGGGAUGGGGAUGGAGGCGGCCGCCGUGCCGGAGGAGCUGCGGCGCAAACGCUCUGACGGCAAGUAGUGGCGAUGCUUUCCCAUCUCCUGCAAACUCGUGUUCUCAUUUACUCAGAUCCUGUCUGGAAAGGAGGGCGGCGACGAGCAGCUGUAGCCCCUCACCCAGUUGUCGGCUCGUCACAGCCCCACACGGUGGCCGGGGAGAAAGAGGAUUGUGGAGGCUGAUGUCCAAGAGAGAGGGCUGCCUGCCUUCUGGAUCCGAAGGCCCAUCUUCUCCCCAGCCGAUGACGCCAUGCCGGCCUCCUCAUUUGAUUGAGGCAUCCUCAUCAUCAGCCAAAGCAGCUUGCACAAGGCAGCGAAGUUCAGAUGUGCUUCGAUCGGGUCAUGGUGUGCUCCACUUCGCAGUAACAUAUAUGUGUUCCUGAGGUAUGUGAAACAAUAAACUGUUUCAUAAUUUUUUAUACUAACAAAAAUAACUUAGUUCUUGCAUAUGUGGUGUUACUGUCAUAUAUCUUUAAUGAGUGGGGAAAAAAAUCAAGGUGAAAGACUGAAACAAUGCCUAUAAUAUUCCAAAUUCACAUUGCUUUGCAUUCAGCUGUGCCUCAUUAUAUUCUUCAUGUAUAGACCACUGUUAUGCUAAAUCUUGAUGGAUCUUGGACUUGAUAUCUGGAAUAAUCCUGUUAUUUUCAAGUUUGUAUAUUUUCAAUAGGUGCAGUGUGGGAUACUGUAGUUGAGGCACGGGUUGAUGGCAUGUUGAUGAGCCAAUCCUGCUGCUCCAAUUGACAGCUUCAAGGGGUACAUCAAGAAGAGGAUUUUUAUUAAAAUGUGCUAAUUUUUUGAUGUCCUGAAAGUGACUAACAGUGAUCUCUACAUGCUAGGCACUUUCUAUUUUAUUGGCUUCUAAUCUGUGUCAUUUAGAGUCAUACUGAAUGUAAAUCGAGACUUCUCGUUGAAACCACCUAUUGGAGACACUGGUAAGGACACACGAGCAGGGCCAUAAAGAUUAUUAUGCGGCAUGGCACAGGACUAGCAGCAGCGUCGGCAAGGAGGUGACUGAGUCUGGUGCCGGCCAUAUCCAUCAUUGUUGGUGGUGUUGUAAUUUUUUAUUUGUUUUUGUGCAUUCUACAAAUGUAUCACAUUGCGUGUGUGAUCAGACAGCCGUUGUAAUUCUAAAUCCGUUCAAACAUUUGUCGGAUGUGCAUAAAUGUUUUGCUCCUGCAGUCUAAGAGUAAUUUAUUUACUCAAGGAAGGUGGAUGAAGAAAAGCACAAAGUAAUUUAUUUA